GCUGGAUCUGCUUAACAAGUAUUCAGCUGGCGAGGAUGAGUCAGUGUCUGAAGAUUUCCCAAGAUAGUCAAGGAUCUCGUGCUCUAAACUGAGAGAAAGCUUUUUGUCUGUUCCAGUGUGUUUACAAGAGUAAGCUUCAAGGCAUCCCUUGAUUGUCCGUUCUCCAAGAUUUAAAUUGCUUAAGAACUCAUUUAUGCUUUCAAGAGGAGUGUAUUCUAAAAACUUCAUAGUGAGUAUAUUUCUCAAAAACAGAUACAACGCCUCUACAAAGUUCCUUGUAGAUUAUUUGAAUGGAAGAUUUGAUAGAAAAUGAAUAAAAUU
rnacentral:misc_RNA from 1 species